rnacentral:rRNA from 1 species
GUGGGGAAUAUUGCACAAUGGGCGAAAGCCUGAUGCAGCGACGCCGCGUGAGCGAUGAAGUAUUUCGGUACGUAAAGCUCUAUCAGCAGGGAAGAUAAUGACGGUACCUGACUAAGAAGCACCGGCUAAAUACGUGCCAGCAGCCGCGGUAAUACGUAUGGUGCAAGCGUUAUCCGGAUUUACUGGGUGUAAAGGGAGCGUAGGCGGCGUGGUAAGUCAGAAGUGAAAGCCCGGGGCUCAACCCCGGUACUGCUUUUGAAACUAGCAUGCUAGAGUGUCGGAGAGGUAAGUGGAAUUCCUAGUGUAGCGGUGAAAUGCGUAGAUAUUAGGAGGAACACCAGUGGCGAAGGCGGCUUACUGGACGAAAACUGACGCUGAGGCGCGAAAGCCAGGGGAGCGAACGGGAUUAGAUACCCUUGUAGUCC